CAGGAACGACCUUCUUUUGCUUCACGCUGACGGAUGAGUCGCGCUCGCUGCCCGUGCUCGUACAGGUACCAGCUCUCUGAGGAUGAUGAUGGUGAGGAGGGACGGCCUGAUGAAGCUCAGUGUGUGUGUGUGUGUGUGUGUGUGUGUGUGUGUGUGUGUGUCUGCAGCUGUUCUUUGUGUUGUUGCUGGAUCGUUGCCUCAGGGGGAAAGUUGUGUGUGUGUUGAACAUGCAGACUAACAGAGACUGCAGCUGUCAGCAGCCACACACACUUUAUAUUCUUCAAAUCAAAUCACAGUGAAACAUGUUCACUGACAGCUCAGCUUCAGCAUCUUAUUCAUGCUGUGACUGCAGCCGUUCAACUCUGUUUCUCUUUAACCCAAAUCAUCACAACAUGGAAAUACAAUCAUCAAAAUGAUGUGACUGGAAGGAUGCAGCAGUCUGUGCUCCACCUUUCUCCUCCACACCUGCAGGUGGAGAACAUGGAUGCAUGAAUCUCUACAGAGUUCUUUGAAUAUUAUCCGUCUUAUCAGUUUUCAGUGAACAAAAAUCCUCACAGAGCCAAAAUAAGCAGUUUGUAUCCAACAUAACUCAGCUGGACUCUGAUGCUCCGUAUAACAGCCACACAUGAGUCUGGAUUCACUCAAAGCAUUGAACAAACUUUAUUGUAAAUGAAGCUUUUGGACAUUUAUUCUCUGAUAUUUGCUCUUCAGCUCGAGUCUCCAUCAGUGGGAACAUUUCCUGAUUCAACUUUUCUUCUGUUCAAAUCAAACUCCAUGAGAAUCAAAGUGUGAAUCAGAGUCCUGAUGAUCAGAUUCUAUAGAAACAUGGAGACUGUAGAGGAUUUACACU